UUUUGGACAAUGGGCGCAAGCCUGAUCCAGCAAUGCCGCGUGCAGGAAGAAGGCCUUCGGGUUGUAAACUGCUUUUGUACCCCACCCCACCCCGGUCCUGGUUAAUACCUGGGGCCAAUGACGGUACCGUAAGAAUAAGCACCGGCUAACUACGUGCCAGCAGCCGCGGUAAUACGUAGGGUGCAAGCGUUAAUCGGAAUUACUGGGCGUAAAGCGUGCGCAGGCGGUUUUGUAAGACAGGCGUGAAAUCCCCGGGCUUAACCUGGGAAUGGCGCUUGCGACUGCAAAGCUGGAGUGCGGCAGAGGGGGAUGGAAUUCCGCGUGUAGCAGUGAAAUGCGUAGAUAUGCGGAGGAACACCGAGGCGAAGGCAAUCCCCGGACCACACUACGCUCAGCAGAAU
rnacentral:rRNA from 1 species